rnacentral:rRNA from 1 species
GCACGACAGGGGUAACGUUUUGGGCACUGUCUCAACCAGAGACUCGGUGAAAUUUUAGUACCUGUGAAGAUGCAGGUUACCCGCGACAGGACGGUAAGACCCCGUGGAGCUUUACUGUAGCCUGAUAUUGAAUUUUGGUACAGUUUGUACAGGUUAGGCGGGAGCCAUUGAAACCGGAGCGCUAGCUUCGGUGGCGGCGCUGGUGGGGUGCCGCCCGGCCUGUAUUGAAAUUCUAAGC